UGCCGCGUGCAGGAUGAAGGCCUUCGGGUUGUAAACUGCUUUUGUACGGAACGAAACGGUGAGCUCUAAUACAGUUUGCUAAUGACGGUACCGUAAGAAUAAGCACCGGCUAACUACGUGCCAGCAGCCGCGGUAAUACGUAGGGUGCGAGCGUUAAUCGGAAUUACUGGGCGUAAAGCGUGCGCAGGCGGUGAUGUAAGACAGAUGUGAAAUCCCCGGGCUCAACCUGGGACCUGCAUUUGUGACUGCAUCGCUAGAGUACGGUAGAGGGGGAUGGAAUUCCGCGUGUAGCAGUGAAAUGCGUAGAUAUGCGGAGGAACACCGAUGGCGAAGGCAAUCCCCUGGACCUGUACUGACGCUCAUGCACGAAAGCGUGGGGAGCAAACAGGAUUAGAUACCCUGGUAGUCCACGCCCUAAACGAUGUCAACUGGUUGUUGGGUCUUCACUGACUCAGUAACGAAGCUAACGCGUGAAGUUGACCGCCUGGGGAGUACGGCCGCAAGGUUGAAAC
rnacentral:rRNA from 1 species